GUCUAAAUAAAGACACCUUGGUCUCAGCAUUGACUCCCUGUCUAAAUAAAGACACAUCGGUCUCAGCAUUGACUCCCUGUCUAAAUAAAGACACAUUGGUCUCAGCAUUGACUCCCUGUCUAAAUAAAGACACAUUGGUCUCAGCAUUGACUCCCUGUCUAAAUAAAGACACCUUGGUCUCAGCAUUGACUCCCUGUCUAAAUAAAGACACCCUGGUUUCAGCACUGACUCCCUGUCUAAAUAAAGACACCUUGGUCUCAGCACUGACUCCCUGUCUAAAUAAAGACACAUCGGUCUCAGCAUUGACUCCCUGUCUAAAUAAAGACACCUUGGUCUCAGCACUGACUCCCUGUCUAAAUAAAGACACAUUGGUCUCAGCAUUGACUCCCUGUCUAAAUAAAGACACCUUGGUCUCAGCACUGACUCCCUGUCUAAAUAAAGACACAUUGGUCUCAGCAUUGACUCCCUGUCUAAAUAAAGACACCUUGGUCUCAGCACUGACUCCCUGUCUAAAUAAAGACACCUUGGUCUCAGCAUUGACUCCCUGUCUAAAUAAAGACACAUCGGUCUCAGCAUUAACUCCCUGUCUAAAUAAAGACACCUUGGUCUCAGCAUUGACUCCCUGUCUAAAUAAAGACACCGUGGUCUCAGCUUUGACUCCUUCUCUAAAUAAUGGUUAAAUAGAAUAUAACAAAUAAUGGGGUUGUCUGGUCGUGUAUAGACAAUGUGCUCUGUUGCUUUAGAUCUCAGGUAUUAGUCUUUCUGCAGCUUGGCAGUGUUGGGCCGUUCUGCCCAUGUAUCCCAGGUUGCUACAGUCUUUCUGCAGCUUGGCAGUGUUGGGCCGUUCUGCCCAUGUAUCCCAGGUUGCUACAGUCUCUCUGCAGCUUGGCAGUGUUGGGCCGUUCUGCCCAUGUAUCCCAGGUUGCUACAGUCUCUCUGCAGCUUGGCAGUGUUGGGCCGUUCUGCCCAUGUAUCCCAGGUUGCUACAGUCUUUCUGCAGCUUGGCAGUGUUGGGCCGUUCUGCCCAUGUAUCCCAGGUUGCUACAGUCUUUCUGCAGCUUGGCAGUGUUGGGCCGUUCUGCCCAUGUAUCCCAGGUUGAUACAGUCUUUCUGCUGCUUGGGAGUGUUGGGCCGUUCUGCCCAUGUAUCCCAGGUUGCUACAGUCUCUCUGCAGCUUGGCAGUGUUGGGCCGUUCUGCCCAUGUAUCCCAGGUUGCUACAGUCUUUCUGCAGCUUGGCAGUGUUGGGCCGUUCUGCCCAUGUAUCCCAGGUUGCUACAGUCUCUCUGCAGCUUGGCAGUGUUGGGCCGUUCUGCCCAUGUAUCCCAGGUUGCUACAGUCUUUCUGCAGCUUGGCAGUGUUGGGCCGUUCUGCCCAUGUAUCCCAGGUUGCUACAGUCUUUCUGCAGCUUGGCAGUGUUGGGCCGUUCUGCCCAUGUAUCCCAGGUUGCUACAGUCUUUCUGCAGCUUGGCAGUGUUGGGCCGUUCUGCCCAUGUAUCCCAGGUUGCUACAGUCUUUCUGCAGCUUGGCAGUGUUGGGCCGUUCUGCCCAUGUAUCCCAG